CGUGGGUAACCUGCCCUCGUACAGGGGGACAACAGCUGGAAACGGCUGCUAAUACCGCAUAAGCCCUUAGCACUGCAUGGUGCAUAGGGAAAAGGGAAGAAUCCGGUACAGGAUGGACCCGCGUCUGAUUAGCCAGUUGGCAGGGUAACGGCCUACCAAAGCGACGAUCAGUAGCCGAUCUGAGAGGAUGUACGGCCACAUUGGGACUGAGACACGGCCCAG
rnacentral:rRNA from 1 species